rnacentral:tRNA from 1 species
GUUAAGAUGGCAGAGACUGGCUAUUGCAAAAGAUCUAAGCCCUUUCUACGGAGGUUCAAGUCCUCCUCUUAACA